AUUGAACGCUGGCGGCAUGCCUUACACAUGCAAGUCGAACGGCAGCAUGAUCUAGCUUGCUAGAUUGAUGGCGAGUGGCGAACGGGUGAGUAAUACAUCGGAACGUGCCCUGUAGUGGGGGAUAACUAGUCGAAAGAUUAGCUAAUACCGCAUACGACCUGAGGGUGAAAGUGGGGGACCGCAAGGCCUCAUGCUAUAGGAGCGGCCGAUGUCUGAUUAGCUAGUUGGUGAGGUAAAGGCUCACCAAGGCGACGAUCAGUAGCUGGUCUGAGAGGACGAUCAGCCACACGGGGACUGAGACACGGCCCAGACUCCUACGGGAGGAAGCAGUGGGGAAUUUUGGACAAUGGGCGAAAGCCUGAUCCAGCAAUGCCGCGUGUGUGAAGAAGGCCUUCGGGUUGUAAAGCACUUUUGUCCGGAAAGAAAUGGCUCUGGUUAAUACCUGGGGUCGAUGACGGUACCGGAAGAAUAAGGACCGGCUAACUACGUG
rnacentral:rRNA from 1 species